GAACCCGUACGUUGGAUGCCAAGGUAAUUCACUUCUUUCACAAACUAACUGUAAUUUUAAUUCUAGAAAUUAAAAACAUUAUAUAAGUUUUAUGUUGCAAUGAUUUUUAUCAUUGUCACAAAAUUUUAUUGGGAUAGAGAUAAAUUAAAUUAAGAUUUUUUUGUACUCAAUUUACUUUUUGAUUUAUAUUUUAUUUUUAGUAUUAUAAUAUGCUGAGUCAUUGUAUAUAUGUCAUAUUAAAGUUUCAAUAAGAUUCUUCCUCG
rnacentral:misc_RNA from 1 species